AUUGAACGCUGGCGGCAGGCCUAACACAUGCAAGUCGAACGAGUGGCGGACGGGUGAGUAAUGUCUGGGAAACUGCCUGAUGGAGGGGGAUAACUACUGGAAACGGUAGCUAAUACCGCAUACCAUCAGAUGUGCCCAUAUGGGAUUAGCUUGUUGGUGGGGUAACGGCUCACCAAGGCGACGAUCCCUAGCUGGUCUGCGAGGAUGACACGCGACACUGGAACUGAGACAAGGGGCAGACUCCUACAGGAGGAAGCGGGGGGGAAUAUUGCGCAAUGGGCGAAAGCCGGAUGCAGCGAUGCGGCGUGUAUGAAGAAGGCGUUCGGGUUGUAAAGUGCUUUCAGAGGGGAGGCGUUACCCGCAGAAGAAGCACCGGCUAACUCCGUGCCAGCAGCCGCGGUAAUUC
rnacentral:rRNA from 1 species